ACUCAAAUGAAUAGACGGGGACCCGCACAAGCGGUGGAGCAUGUGGUUUAAUUCGAAGCAACGCGAAGAACCUUACCAAAACUUGACAUCCCAUUGACGGAUCCUUAGCCGGAUCGUUCCAUGCUUGCAUGGACAAUGGAGACAGGUGGUGCAUGGUUGUCGUCAGCUCGUGUCGUGAGAUGUUGGGUUAAGUCCCGCAACGAGCGCAACCCUUAUCUUUAGUAGCCAGCAUUAAGUUGGGCACUCUAGAGAGACUGCCAGGGAUAACCUGGAGGAAGGUGGGGACGACGUCAAAUCAUCAUGCCCCUUAUGUUUUGGGCUACACACGUGCUACAAUGGCUACUACAAAGGGAAGCAAAUGGGCGACCAUAAGCAAACCUCAAAAAAGUAGUCCCAGUUCGGAUUGUAGUCUGCAACUCGACUACAUGAAGUUGGAAUCGCUAGUAAUCGCGAAUCAGAAUGUCGCGGUGAAUACGUUCCCGGGUCUUGUACACACCGCCCGU
rnacentral:rRNA from 1 species